rnacentral:rRNA from 1 species
UACGUAGGGCGCGAGCGUUGUCCGGAAUUAUUGGGCGUAAAGAGCUCGUAGGCGGCUUGUCACGUCGGGUGUGAAAGACCGGGGCUUAACUCCGGUUCUGCAUUCGAUACGGGCGGACUAGAGUUCGGCAGGGGAGACGUGGAAUUCCUGGUGUAGCGGUGAAAUGCGCAGAUAUCAGGAGGAACACCGGUGGCGAAGGCGGGUCUCUGGGCCGAUACUGACGCUGAGGAGCGAAAGCGUGGGGAGCGAACAGG